rnacentral:rRNA from 1 species
UACGGAGGGUGCAAGCGUUAUCCGGAUUCACUGGGUUUAAAGGGUGCGUAGGUGGGCAGUUAAGUCAGUGGUGAAAUCUCCGGGCUCAACCCGGAAACUGCCAUUGAUACUAUCUGUCUUGAAUAUUGUGGAGGUGAGCGGAAUAUGUCAUGUAGCGGUGAAAUGCUUAGAUAUGACAUAGAACACCAAUUGCGAAGGCAGCUCACUACUCA